UACAGAGGGGGCAAGCGUUGUUCGGAAUUACUGGGCGUAAAGGCGCGUAGGCGGCCUGCUAAGUCGAACGUGAAAUCCCCGGGCUCAACCCGGGAACUGCGUCCGAUACUGGCAGGCUUGAAUUCGGGAGAGGGAUGCGGAAUUCCAGGUGUAGCGGUGAAAUGCGUUAGAUAUCUGGAGGAACACCCGGUGGCGAAGGCGGCAUCCUGGACCGAAAUUGACGCUGAGGCGCGAAAGCCAGGGGAGCAAACGGG
rnacentral:rRNA from 1 species